GGGCCGGUAGCGCAGCCUGGUAGCGCGCUUGGCUGAUAACCAAGAGGUCGUGGGUUCGAAUCCCACCCGGCCCACCA
rnacentral:tRNA from 2 species